rnacentral:rRNA from 1 species
UGGGGAAUCAUAGACAAUGGGGGCAACCCUGAUCUUGCCAUGCCGCGUGAGCGAUGAAGGCCUUAGGGUUGUAAAGCUCUUUCACCGGUGAAGAUAAUGACGGUAGCCGGAGAAGAAGCCCCGGCUAACUCCGUGCCAGCAGCCGCGGUAAUACGGAGGGGGCUAGCGUUGUUCGGAAUUACUGGGCGUAAAGCGCGCGUAGGCGGGCUGUUAAGUCGGGGGUGAAAUCCCGGGGCUCAACCCCGGAACUGCCCUCGAUACUGGCAGCCUAGAGGACUGGAGAGGCGAGUGGAAUACCGAGUGUAGAGGUGAAAUUCGUAGAUAUUCGGUGGAACACCAGUGGCGAAGGCGGCUCGCUGGCCAGAUACUGACGCUGAGGUGCGAAAGCGUGGGGAGCAAACAGGAUUAGAUACCCCCGUAGUCC